rnacentral:rRNA from 1 species
UGGGGAAUCUUCGGCAAUGGGCGAAAGCCUGACCGAGCCAUGCCGCGUGAGUGACGAAGGCCUUAGGGUCGUAAAGCUCUUUCGCCAGGGAUGAUAAUGACAGUACCUGGUAAAGAAACCCCGGCUAACUCCGUGCCAGCAGCCGCGGUAAUACGGAGGGGGUUAGCGUUGUUCGGAAUUACUGGGCGUAGAGCGCGCGUAGGCGGAUAAGAAAGUUAGAGGUGAAAUCCCGGGGCUCAACCCCGGAACUGCCUUUAAAACUCCUAGUCUUGAGUUCGAGAGAGGUGAGUGGAAUUCCGAGUGUAGAGGUGAAAUUCGUAGAUAUUCGGAGGAACACCAGUGGCGAAGGCGGCUCACUGGCUCGAUACUGACGCUGAGGUGCGAAAGUGUGGGGAGCAAACAGGAUUAGAUACCCGCGUAGUCC